rnacentral:tRNA from 1 species
UGGAAAAUAGGUUAAGUUUAAACUGGUACUUUGUGGUGGUAUCUGAUCCUUGUUUGGUUUUCUAU